UACGGAGGGUGCAAGCGUUAAUCGGAAUUACUGGGCGUAAAGGGCGCGUAGGUUGUUUAGUAAGUUGGCUGUGAAAGCCCCGGGCUCAACCUGGGAGGGUCAGUCAAAACUGCUAAACUAGAGUGUAGUAGAGGGUAGUGGAAUUUCAGGUGUAGCGGUGAAAUGCGUAGAGAUCUGAAGGAACACCAGUGGCGAAGGCG
rnacentral:rRNA from 1 species